AACCACACCAGGCUGUAGAGCUGGUCGGGCAGGCCCAUUUGCAGGAGUACCGGAGUGACGUACGCGGUCUCCAUGGCGUAGCUGAACUCGAUGCCAAACAGAAUGCAGCCGUUGAAGAGCAGCUCCCGAAACGACCUCUCACAGGGAGAGGAAAACUGAGGCCGGAGGGGGAGGAACAGAGACCUGGAGCAAGAAAGUCCCAGAACUCUGCUGGAUGUCCACCUCACCCACCCGAUGGAAAAGCCACUGACACUCUCCUUUGAAGUCCUUCCUGAGAGGUGACCCCAAAGGGUCGAGAGCCACAGGUUGAGAACUAUAGAUCUGGUACAUGAACCAGAACUAACCCUGACUUUGAAAAACAUCAUCACUCAGCUUCCUGUUUGCAUUGGAGUCAGAUUCUCAAAGCUGAUCGCUCAGGCCUCUUCCUAGACCCUUAAACGCUGUGUGGCCUUAGAGGGACACCGUCAGCAAACUACUGACUCGAGGCCCAGUUCUCACACUUCGUCUCCGGGACUUUCACUCUUUCCGAGGGCCAACUUGUCCCCAAAGUCCCGGCCAGGAGCUCACUAACUUGUGCUUCAUCAGCACCUGACUCUAUUUCCCAUAAGAACAGAAAAACAAACGUUAUAACGACUCCAGGAGCCGUGAGAGGUUGUUUAUUAUCGAGGAGGGAAUCGAGGGAACGCCUCUGUGUCUCCCUUAGCUUGUCACCCUCAGUUGUAUGACUCAGGACAGCGCUAAGAUGACAAGGUGCUCUUCUCAGGAACCCAGACAUCCUGGGAGACGUUUGACCACAAUCCCUGGCCAGCCAAAGGGCUCAGCCUCAGCGAGGAGGUGAACCGGAAGCUGAUGACACCUGCCCAGGUAGCCGGGAACAGGCCUGGGGCUCAAUCAACAUAGCAGAUGCCCGGGGCAAAUUUCACCAGACUGCCUCUCCCUCUAGGCCUGUGGCCGCUUCACCCUGGAGGUUCCACUCUCAGCUUAAUUCAUUAGACACCCAAGAAGAACAAAGGUCCCCAUGUCCGUCUGGAGCCCCCAGCCUGGGCACGAGGACCGUCCUGGGGCCUAAGCCGCAAUGCUCCAGGCGCAAAGCCGCGGAACUGGGUGGAGGGAGCAGGAGAAAACGCCGGUACCUGUGCGUCCAGACGGGAGGCAUCCCUUUCCCAGGCUGGGCUCCUGGUUCUUCGGGGUAUAGCUCCGUCCCAGCCCAGCGCCCCCAGCCCCGCCGCGGCAGCUGCAGCAUCACCCCGCGGGGCGGGGCUGUGACGUCAUGGCUGCAUCCUGCCGCUUGGUCCCGCAGAGCAUCCUUAAAGCAGCAACCGCGCCAGCGCACCUUUGGGGACAGCCCAGGUCGAUGGGCAGAACGCAGAAACAGGAAGCACUGUGACUUGGUGGGGCCCAUCCUCAAAAACCAUGUAAUAGUUUACUUUUCCGUGGUCGUAAAUGCAUUAUAAAAGCGCUUGCCCGAGCCUG